rnacentral:misc_RNA from 1 species
AAGUCGUAACAAGGUAACCGUAGGUGAACCUGCGGUUGGAUCAUUAUUGAAAUUAUAAUCCAAUCUUUUUUUCUCAUAACUUCUGUUAAAAGAAGGCUAUGAGAUUGAAGGAAACAUCAUGUGAACUUGUUUAAUUGUCUCUGGUGGGUUAAAACGAUAAAGUAGUUUGAAAAAAUUACUUUACCCGGAAUGUGUGUGGCUUGGUGUUUGUGGGUAAAUUAUAUUUAUCCAUUCCCACCCCUCCACCCCCAUUUACCCACUAUUUUUUUGUAUAUCAAAACCUGUUCUGUUUAACCUGGACCGAAUUUUUAAAAUGUUUUUUUCCUUUAAAAGAAAAUAACAAAUCAAAAAAAAAACAACUUUUGACAACGGAUCUCUAGGCUCUC